UCGGAUUGUAGUCUGCAACUCGACUACAUGAAGCUGGAAUCGCUAGUAAUCGCAGAUCAGAAUGCUGCGGUGAAUACGUUCCCGGGUCUUGUACACACCGCCCGUCACACCAUGGGAGUCGGAAAUGCCCGAAGCCGGUGACCCAACCAAAAGGAGGGAGCCGUCGAAGGCAGGUCUGAUAACUGGGGGUGAAGUCGUAACAAGGUACC
rnacentral:rRNA from 1 species